GAUGAACGCUGGCGGCGUGCUUAACACAUGCCAGUCGAACGGAAAGGCCCUGCUUUUGUGGGGUGCUCGAGUGGCGAACGGGUGAGUAACACGUGAGUAACCUGCCCCUGACUUUGGGAUAACUUCAGGAAACUGGGGCUAAUACCGGAUAGGAGCUCCUGCUGCAUGGUGGGGGUUGGAAAGUUUCGGCGGUUGGGGAUGUACUCGCGGCUUAUGAGCUUGUUGGGGGGGUAGGGGCUUACCAAGGCUUUGAUGGGUAGCCCACCUGAGAGGGUGAUCGGCGACAUGGGAACGGAGACAGCCUCAAUGGGACUGCGGGACGGCCCAGUCGCCAACGGGAGGCAGCGGUGGGAAGUAUUACACAGUGGGGCGGAGCCUGAUACAACGGCGCCGCGUGCGGAAUGACGGCCUACGGGUUAUAAACCGCUUUCGCCUGUGACGAAGCGUGAGUGACGGUAAUGAGUAAAGAAGCACCGGCUAACUACGUG
rnacentral:rRNA from 1 species